UGCAGAAUCCCGCGAACCAUCGAGUCUUUGAACGCAAGUUGCGCCCGAGGCCUUUCGGCUGAGGGCACGCCUGCCUGGGCGUCACGCAAAACACGCUCCCACACCCCCUCAUUUGGGAAUGGGAUGCGGCAUGUGGCCCCCCGUCACGCAAGGGGCGGUGGGCCGAAGAUAUGGCUGCCGGCGCAUCGUGUCGGACACAGCGCGUGGUGGGCGUCCUCGCUUUACUUACCGCAGUGCAUCCGGCAUGUAGCCGGCGUGAUGGCCAGAAAGGACCCUUUUGAACGGUGCGUACAACGCUCCGACCGCGACCCCAGGUCAGGCGGGACUACCCGCUGAAUUUAAGCAUAUAAAUAAGCGGAGGAGAAGAAACUUACAAGGAUUCCCCUAGUAACGGCGAGCGAACCGGGAACAGCCCAGCUUGAGAAUCGG
rnacentral:rRNA from 1 species